rnacentral:lncRNA from 1 species
AUUAGCGUACAAGUACUGCAUGAAAGAUGACUCUGCCGCUGCCAUGGUUAUGUUGGAAAGGCUAGAAAAGAAGCUCUGGAUCCACACGGUGAAUACAUUGGUCAGGAAGCUUAGUAGUGACAAGAAAGUAGGGAUAGCAGCAUUGUUCUUUCAUAAAUUAGUGGACAAUGACCAGAACGUGGAUCGCGUGACACUGGCAGACACAGACGAUCUAACCUCCAUCGUAUCCCUCAUCUCGCCGCCGUCUCCUUUCUCUCGCCGAUCGUUGGGCCAGUUCCGUCUACAAGG